UUCCCAUCAGAGUAACUA
rnacentral:snRNA from 1 species